UGAGGGGAUAUUGGGGCAAUGGGGGAAACCCUGACCCACGCGACGCCGCGUGAGGGAAGACGGUCUUCGGAUUGUAAACCUCUGUCUUUGGGGACGAAAAAGGACGGUACCCAAGGAGGAAGCUCCGGCUAACUACGUGCCAGCAGCCGCGGUAAUACGUAGGGAGCGAGCGUUGUCCGGAAUUACUGGGUGUAAAGGGAGCGUAGGCGGGAAGGCAAGUUGGAUGUGAAAACUGUGGGCUCAACCGACAGACUGCAUUCAAAACUGUUUUUCUUGAGUGAAGUAGAGGCAAGCGGAAUUCCUAGUGUAGCGGUGAAAUGCGUAGAUAUUAGGAGGAACACCAGUGGCGAAGGCGGCUUGCUGGGCUUUUACUGACGCUGAGGCUCGAAAGUGUGGGGAGCAAACAGGAUUAGAUACC
rnacentral:rRNA from 1 species